rnacentral:pre_miRNA from 1 species
AGAGUGGAAUGCAGCCAAGGAUGACUUGCCGGCAUUGCCUUGUAACAAAAUCUCCUUGUUUGCGAGUUGCUGGCAAGUUUGUCCUUGGCUACCUUUGGCUCUCU